rnacentral:misc_RNA from 1 species
CCAGCCGGCGCUCGCA